CGGGCUCAAACGCUGAUAGACCGGUGUGGAAACACGCCUUCCCUUCGGGGCUGUCAGCGAGGUGCUGCAUGGUU
rnacentral:rRNA from 1 species